UGCUGAAGGAUCUGCUGCCUGUGGGUUUUUAUUUCCAGCUCUUGAUUUGGAGAGUGAAAAGUUCCUGGCCAGAUAAAGUCCUUACUAACUGCAAGGCUGUGCAAGAGAAGAGACCAAGUUCCUGGAGUCCUGUGAGUACAGGAAAGUCUUAAAGCUAGAACUGGAAAUCCCCUUGGAGAUGCAGAGCUAAUGGACUGUCAAUCUGCUAUCCCCUGCCGGCAGCAAAAUCUCUAAUUAAAGCAAAUUAGAGAGAAAAGACCUGGUGUUACAGAAAUGCUGUGCUAAUUAUGUGGUUUGCUCCUCCGAAGAGCUGGGCUGCGGUUUUGUUGGGCUCUUUUCUAAGCAAAGAUGCCAUUGCUCAGAGAUGCUGGGGAGAGAGAGGGAGGGAAGAGACCUGGAACCUUGUUUUGUUUGUGUCCGUGCAAGAGUGCCUCCCUGCCAACCUGUUUCCAGCAUUACUCUUUCUUUGUUCUUUUAAAACCUGAGCUGCUCUGUCAGAAGCAGAAACACCUCUGAUACCCGUACAGACUUUCUGUAGCUCCAGAUGCUUGCUUUUUUUUUUUUUUUUUAUCCCUACCCCACCCCUUAGAGACAAUUAGGGAAGAGGCUGUAAGUUCAUAAUUGUGGAUCUUUUCAAACCUAGAUUAGUUCUUCCAGUCUAUCAGGUGAAUACAUAUUUAUAAGUGUUCUUAAAAAUGCACCAUCCUUCACUCGGUGAGGUGCCACGGAUUCAUCAUGUAAAUACAUGCUCAGGUGCAGAAUGAAAACAUCCUCAGGGUGCGCUUUGGGAUGAUUAGAGGGCUGUUCCUCAAGUAGGUUGGUUUUUCUCAAAAGUAGUAAUAAAUGUGUUUUAACUAUAUGCAAUGCACAGAUCAGUUACUGGAUGUUUCUUCUUCAUCAAAAGCAUACCGACACCCUUCUGGCAUACAGAUCAAACUCUGGGGAGUGCAUCUUCUAAACACAAAACCAAAAAGCUCAGUUACUGACGGAAAAAAUUGCUUGGCUGAAUCUGAAAUUUCUGUGAUCUAGUCUGUUUUCUGCUCUGGUAAGAUUUAACCACUUUUGCACUUCCAAUUUCACUAUAGAAUAGGGAAUAAAGGCGUUUUGAAGGGGCUGAGCUGGUUGCAGUCAAUCCAUUCUGGUUUGUCUUUGUGCUUUCAGACUGCAGAACCUGGAAGGUAGCAUUUCCUAGUGUUUUGAGUACCCAGUUCACCUUUAUCCUACUGGCAGACAUGAAUGAUGUAUCUUAAAAUAGCUCUAGAGUAUGUCUCUGGGACAUACCUUUUGAUUACAGUUAAUCAGGGCUGUAAGUGCUUAAUUGGAUUGA